ACAUGCAGAGAACUUUCCAGAGAUGGAUUGGUGGCCUUCGGGAACUCUGACACAGGUGCUGCAUGGCUGUCGUCAGCUCGUGUCGUGAGAUGUUGGGUUAAGUCCGUAACGAGCGCAACCCUUGUCCUUAGUUACCAGCACGUUAUGGUGGGCGACCCUAAGGAGACUGCCGGUGACAAACCGGAGGAAGGUGGGGGAUGACGUCAAGUCAUCAUGGCCCUUACGGCCUGGGCUACACACGUGCUACAAUGGUCGGUACAAAGGGUUGCCAAGCCGCGAGGUGGAGCUAAUCCCAUAAAACCGAUCGUAGUCCGGAUCGCAGUCUGCAACUCGACUGCGUGAAGUCGGAAUCGCUAGUAAUCGUGAAUCAGAAUGUCACGGUGAAUACGUUCCCGGGCCUU
rnacentral:rRNA from 1 species